UCUGACACAGGUGCUGCAUGGCUGUCGUCAGGCUCGUGUCGUGAGAUGUGGGUUAAGUCCCGUAACGAGCGCAACCCUUGUCCUUAGUUACCAGCACGUUAUGGUGGGCACUCUAAGGAGACUGCCGGUGACAAACCGGAGGAAGGUGGGGAUGACGUCAAGUCAUCAUGGCCCUUACGGCCUGGGCUACACACGUGCUACAAUGGUCGGUACAAAGGGUUGCCAAGCCGCGAGGUGGAGCUAAUCCCAUAAAACCGAUCGUAGUCCGGAUCGCAGUCUGCAACUCGACUGCGUGAAGUCGGAAUCGCUAGUAAUCGUGAAUCAGAAUGUCACGGUGAAUACGUUCCCGGGCCUU
rnacentral:rRNA from 1 species